GUUUUUCAUUUCACUAUGUGAAUUGAUUCAGACUUAAUAAAAGUAAAACUAUGGUUUGAUACUGGUGGGUCAGGUGAAAAUAAAUUCAAACCCUCCCACCGUCGGCAGCCCAAAAUCACCCCAUCCGAGCAAACGGGGGGAGCGAUCAGCCAAUCAAGACCUUAACAGGACUGCCAGAGACAUAUAUAGUGCACACAAAUGUUUGGUAUGAGAACCAAAUUUUGUAAUGAUCCAACCGCAGGUUCACCUACGGUUA
rnacentral:misc_RNA from 1 species